ensembl:snRNA U6 U6 spliceosomal RNA
GUGGUGGCUUCAGGAGAACACAUACUAAAAACGGAAUGGUACAGAGAAGGUUAGCAUGGCCCCUGUGCAUUGAUGACGUACACAGUGGUGAAGCAUUCCAUAUUUUU